GACCUCAGUUCAGGUGAGAUUACCGGCUGAAUUUAAGCAUAUUACUAAGCCGAGGAAAAGAAACUAACAAGGAUUCCCCUAGUAGCAGCGAGCGAACAGGGAAGAGCCCAGCGCUGAAUCCCCCGGGCCUCGCUCGGCGGGAAAUGUAGCGUUUGGGAGGGCCCGUCAACACGGCGACUCGCUCACUGGUUCAAGUCCAACUUGAAUGGGGCCACACAGAGGGUGACAGGCCCGUAGAGCAGGAGCGGUUGUCGUGUGGGUCUCUCCUUAGAGUCGGUUUGCUUGAGAGUGCAGACUUAAGUGGGUGGUAAACUCCAUCUAAGGCUAAAUAUGACCACGAGACCGAUAGCACACAAGUACCGUGAGGGAAAGGUGAAAAGAACUUUGAAGAGAGAGUUCAAGAGUACGUGAAACUGAAGUGGUGUAAACGGACGAGUUCGAAAAGUCCGAAUGGUGAGAUUCAAGCUUACCGUGCCGGUGGCCCUCGGGUUCAGAUGGCGUCGUCAGCUCGGGCUUCGGUUCGGGUCAUACGGCGUCACUCGUCCUGGGGGUAUCUGUCUGGUGCGGUGGGCUGCACUUCUCGCCUAGUAGGACGUCGCGACCCGUUGGGAUGUUCCGUUCACUGGCCCCUGGUGGAGCCCGCGCCGGAGCGUGGCCUUGUGCCGCGUUGCUGUUUGCACGGACCCGGGGUGACCUGAUCGGCGCCCGACGGUAUCAAAGCUUGGGAAGAGGCCGCACAGAGGAUGCGUUCGAUGGCCGUUUCGGCCUACACUCGGACAGGCCUGCACCCGGUCAGCGGCGCUUCUGCUUUCGAUA
rnacentral:rRNA from 1 species